rnacentral:lncRNA from 1 species
CCCCACUAACUUUGUGGCUGCAGCACUUUCUGAUGCUCUUCCUUUUUGUCCGAUAUGCUUGGUUCAGUUCUCUGCAGCCCCAAAAAAUGGUUUGCAUUUCUCUACUUAAAUGUACCUACAUAUGAACUUUAUUUUUCACUAUGCAGUACCAGCUUUAUUUUUGGCCUCUAGGUUCUGCUUCUCGGUCACAAUUUAAUUCGUUGCAUGCUGCAUAGUAACAUAAUUUUCCCAAUGCUUCUGUAGGAAGCUUCAAACUCUGUGGAUCAUAAUAGGAACUAGGGGGAUAUAUUGCCGUGGCCUCGGUUGGUCAGGGAGUCAUUUUCUAUGCUGUUGAGUUGAGCUGGUCAUCAUCCUAUCGGAGCCAACCAAAUCUCGGUCCAGCAUUAUCGUAAGGGUUCCUGUGCUCCAGCACGCGUGCUGCAGGGAGCGUCACAUAUAAUCUGCAUUUAAUUUUGGAUCUAGAUGUUGACAGCAGAGCUAUCAAAAUCAGUAUGUGGGUCUAGCGACGCAUGCUGUUUUUGGUUGUACUCGGAAAGUAGAUAUCAGAUAGGGAUUUGGGAGGAAAAGGGUGAUAGAUAUCUUGCUGGUCGUUUCGUGGUAACAUCGUCACAGCUAAUGGACUAGGUCACAGAGCUAUCAUGGGUCAUGAGUCAUGGUGAGUACCCGUGGAAUCUAAACAUAGUUUUGCUUUUAUGUUUUCUUGCCAUGGUAGAACUUGGUUCUUAUUCUUUGGGAGAACAUUGCCUCUUCAUGUUAAAUAAACUCGGUGUCGGUUGCUAGUCUCGGUAUAAACGGGUGGCAAACAGGUUGUAAUCAGAUGGAUUCUUCCUGCCUACAACUUUACACUAUUUACUAUCAGAAGGAAGUUAAUAGCAUAGCAUUAGAAAGGGAAAAAGAAUCAUAACAUUGUGCAGUUGAGGAUGCUCUUAAACUUGGCUGAUGAAUUAUGGUAGGCAUGAGGGAAUAAUUGGUAGUACUCGCAUACGACACAAGAUAGGCCAAGGGGAAGUGAAGGCCUGAUGAUGAUCACCAAAUGACCAGCUGCUACUUUGGCUGGCUGUCAAUUUUGUGCCGUUAGGAUUCGUUGGUCCAAGGAAGCUUUGGAAUACUUUUUGCCACAUCGUUGGAAUAAACAUGGAGGCCUUUUCACUUUUGAGAAAGUACAAAGUAGGUUGUGUAUCUGCCCAUCUCUUUUCCUCAACUAAUUAACUCGGUGAAUGAGGGUUGGUUUAGAGUCCCUGGCCUAGCCCUAGCCUAGUGUGAGCCCUAACUCUCUGUCAGUCUAGUUAGUGUUUGGUCUCUCUCCGAUGGAGUUGUCCUUAACUUGGACCACUAGUCCAUCUGCCAACAACCACUCAAUUAAACCAAGUAGCUCGCAUUGCAUUGCCCAACUAUGGUUUUGGCACAAGUGACGGACAACUCGAGCGCACAAAACGUACUACUGCGUGUUGGUGGUGGAGGAGGAGAAGCUCCCGAUUCCGUGCGGCCGUGUCCUUCCCUCCCACCCACGCUGCGUGCGCCCGCGUCCGUCCGUCUGGUCCUUGAAUCCGGCGGACGGCGGACGCCAGCGUGUCGUCGCCGCCGUAUGAUUGAUUGUUUUCUUUUGAUCAUCGUCCGUACGGAUGGAAGGGGUGGAUAGGUACAAGGUGUGGCUCUGAACGGUGAUGCAUGUGCUCCGCUGCGAUGUCACGGUCGUUUCUGAAGAUGGAGGACGGUGGUGGGGCUCGCCGUCGCCGGCCGCUAAUCAGGGUAGGUGCCUGCUCUGCCCUGCCCUGCCCACACGGAAUGAAGAUGACGCUGACGGGCCCCUAUAUGCAGUAUGUACGCACGAUUCCUCUUCUGCUUCUUAUUCCUAUUCCCCCGCUUUAAGCUUUCCGUUGGGUUCAUCGUCUCAUGUGAUGUGGACGCCCCACCCUCCCUUGGCCACCCACUUGCAUUGCAAUGCAAACUGAUCCGCUCCCUCCCACGCACGCACGUACGCACGCACGCACGCGCAUGUCGCCAAGGAAGGCCAACGUUGCUCCACAGAUUAUUGUUUCAUGACUUCAGCAUCCCCACUUUCUUGUUUGCAAUAACAAAACAUAUCUGGGGAGGGUAAUCAAAGGUGCUCCUUUGCUUCUCCCUAAUCUGAAUCCUCUCAGCCUCUGCCACAACCGUUGCCGCUUUUGGAAUCACCUAGUAAUGCUGUAGCUCUCACCCCCACCGGCUCCGUCAACUACAUGAUUAAUUGACCGCCUCCCGUUGGAGAGGCUUACCACUCCAUAACACACAACAGUGUGUCUUGGGCAGCAUGCAGAUGUCUACAAAGUGACAGGGUAACUUCCAAAGGCCCACGGACGUACAGCCGGCACCACCCUUUUCUCUCCCGUUGGACUUUGCAACUUUUCCCCUUUGAACUUUUGCAACUUUUUCCCUUUCAACUUUGCACUGAGGCACCUCUGAUGCUAAGUUACCAUCACCGUCAACAGCUCACGCGUCAUCCUUCUCGGUAACAACUGUUCUUGACUGCCACACGCUCCCCCUCAGCCAAACAACUCGUUCGUGUCGAUUGAGAGUCGCAUCGAACCAAUCAUAGCUUGGCUAAACAAAAAGUGUUCGUGUUGCGUGUGUAGUGCGGAUUCAUGGGCGGUCGCUCACACUUGCGCAACAUGCGAAAUUUCGCUUUGGUUGCUUCCUUUUUUCUGCUUUUUUUUGUAUCGUAUCGGAGGAACUAAAGGCACUCUUUUUUCGCCGCGAAUCAUUGCUGCUCUAGCUAUCUUGGAACUUAGCACUCACCCUCACCAUCACCAUGAACCACCUUUCAUCUGCCCGUCAGGCUAGCUUACGGUUCCACUGCUAAUUACUCCGAUGACAGUGGCGUAUCAACUAACAUGGCUGAAAAAACACAGCACCCACUGGACCAGGCAGCAUACAUAACAUACACACGCUCUGCAGUCUGCACAAGUGCAGCUGCACCAGUAGUUUCUGCACACAGACCAAUGCUGAUCCUCCCCUUCUGCUCCUGACCCCCAACCAAUCACCAACCUCCCUCCUCCCGCUGCCUCUCCCGAUAUAUAAACCACCUCCUCCCCAAGUGCCAUUUCUUCUUCCUUCUCCUAGCUAGCCCCCACACAUCAUCGAAUCACAAACUCACGCCAGUUUGUGAUUCGAGGAUGUGUGAAUUUGUGUGAAUUAAAUCACCAUCCUCGAAUCAUAAACUCACACCUCCUCCUCGAGUUGAGCAGGUCAUCACCUAUCGGAGCCAAUCAAAUUUAACCAACGAAACCGACUCUGGCGGGAGCAAAAAUUAUACCACUGAUUUCGUAUUUCGAUAUGAAUUCAGUGGUAUAAUAUUUGCUCCCACCACAGUCGGUCUCGUUGGUUAAAUUUAUGGUCAAACUUAGAUUUUGGAAAGCGCGGGCGCACUACAUUGUGGAAUGGAGGAAGUAUCAAAUUCAGUGUGUGGGUGUAGCGGCGCAUGAUGUUUUUGGUUGUACUCAAAAAGUAGAUACCAGAUAGGGAUUUGGGAGGAAAAGGGUGAUAGAUAUCUUUCUGGUCGUUUCGUGGUAACAUCGUCACAGCUAAUGGACUAGGUCACAGAACUAUCAUGGGUCAUAGGUCAUGGCGAGUACCCGUGGAAUCUAAACAUAGUUUUUCUUUUAUGUUUUCUUGCCAUGGUAG